UGGGCAUGGGCGGGCGGGCAGAACUGUCCAAGGAACAGUGGCCAGAGCACUCGCCACAGAGAAACAUCAAACCAUACCGGAAAGGAAAGCUAAACUUCAUUGAAGAUAACUGAUCCUUCUUGGUCAGUUCUGUGUGUUGUCCUGUAGGCGGCCACUGAGAUUGUGUGACGAUCAUUAUCACUUUCCUUGAAUGAAGACUCUUGUUAGGAACAAGGGAAUUGUGUUGAUCUUCAAAGGUCCAGUUAAUGUGAACAAGUUCCUUGUCAACUCCAGGGCAUUAAAGCCUCUCUUAAACCUCAGAACCUGCAACAAAGUAGUGCACUGCUCUUCCUGCCUGUUAUCAGUGUAAGGGCUGGAAGAGACCUGGGAUAUGCUGGACCAGUGUUUUCCAAAGUGUAGUCCACAGGAUGCUGCAGUGUUAGCAGAGGAGGUCCCUGAUGCCACACAGGUUACUUCCAGGUGUAAGUCCCCACUGGCAGCAGUGAGACGCACAUCCACACGGUGGGGCUCCAUGGCCAGCACUCUAGAGGUCCUUGGGUUGCCGUCAGAAAGUGGGGACCUCCCUGGAGCCACAGUGGGGUAAGUGGUCCUGCAUUCACACCUGAAGGAGAUGGGAGCUGAGUGAGAGUAAGGUACUCACCUGGUCUGGCUCAUAUCUUCCCCCUCUGGACAUCACCAAGUUUCUGGCUGCUGUCUUACUUUAAAUCACAGUUUGUCCUUGCGUAAGGUAAGUCGCUUUGUGAUUUGAGAGCCCACUUCCCCUUCCCCCUUUAUUCUCUGUCUGUCCAGACACCAGCCUUUCUCCCGUCUGCCUGGUGAUUUGGGAUUCUUGAGCCAGGGGUUCACAGGACUGCUCUGGGGCUUCAGAAGUAGCUUUCUCCAUUUCUCGCACCCAGGAACAGAAGAAUUUCUGAAGAGAAAACCAUCUUUUGCUUCCCUACAUUCAGCUCUGUCACAACCUAAGAGUCGAUGUGGAGUUAGGCAGUGAUUCUAGGUUAGUCACUCACAGGAAGCCACACCCAUUGUUACAGGGCGCUUGUUGUGUGCUGAUAACCUUGACAUUUUGUCCUUAAAACCACAUGAGGUGGUGUAACGUAAUGCCUCUUCACAAAAUAAUGUUAAUUUUAGGGUCCAGCCGUUCACAGUGAAGAUGAGAAAACUAAGACCCAGAGAUCUCCCAAAGGUG
rnacentral:lncRNA from 1 species